rnacentral:rRNA from 1 species
AUUGAACGCUGGCGGCAGGCUUAACACAUGCAAGUCGAGCGGGGUGAUGGUGCUUGCACUAUCACUUAGCGGCGGACGGGUGAGUAAUGCUUAGGAAUCUGCCUAUUAGUGGGGGACAACAUCUCGAAAGGGAUGCUAAUACCGCAUACGUCCUACGGGAGAAAGCAGGGGAUCACUUGUGACCUUGCGCUAAUAGAUGAGCCUAAGUCGGAUUAGCUAGUUGGUGGGGUAAAGGCCUACCAAGGCGACGAUCUGUAGCGGGUCUGAGAGGAUGGUCCGCCAACAUGGGACUAGGACACGGCGCAGUCUCCUACGGGAGGCAGCAGUGGUGAAUAUUGGAAAAUGGGGGGAACACUGAUCCAGCCAUGCCGCGUGUGUGAAGAAGGCCUUAUGGUUGUAAAGCACUUUAAGCGAGGAGGAGGCUCUUUUGGUUAAUACCCAAGAUGAGUGGACGUUACUCGCAGAGUAAGCACCGGCUAACUCUGUGCCAGCAGCCGCGGUAA